rnacentral:rRNA from 1 species
GGAAUUUUCCACAAUGGGCGAAAGCCUGAUGGAGCAACGCCGCGUGCAGGAUGAAGGCCUUCGGGUUGUAAACUGCUUUUAUAUGUGACGAUUAUGACGGUAGCAUAUGAAUAAGGAUCGGCUAACUCCGUGCCAGCAGCCGCGGUCAUACGGAGGAUCCAAGCGUUAUCCGGAAUUACUGGGCGUAAAGAGUUGCGUAGGUGGCAUGGUAAGUUGAUAGUGAAAGCGUCCGGCUCAACCGGAUACACAUUAUCAAAACUGCCAAGCUAGAGGACGAGAGAGGUUAUUGGAAUUCCUAGUGUAGGAGUGAAAUCCGUAGAUAUUAGGAGGAACACCGAUGGCGUAGGCAGAUAACUGGCUCGUUCCUGACACUAAGGCACGAAAGCGUGGGGAGCAAACGGGAUUAGAUACCCCGGUAGUCCACGCCGUAAACUAUGGAUGCUAGCUGUAUCCGGUAUCGACCCCGGAUGUAGCGAAGCUAACGCGUUAAGCAUCCCGCCUGUGGAGUACGGUCGCAAGACUAAAACAUAAAGGAAUUGACGGGGACCCGCACAAGCGGUGGAGCGUGUUGUUUAAUUCGAUGGUAAGCGAAGAACCUUACCCAGGUUUGACAUCCUUGGAAUUUUGCCGAAAGGCGAGAGUGCUUUAUUGAACCAAGUGACAGGUGUUGCAUGGCCGUCGUCAGCUCGUGUCGUGAGAUGUUUGGUUAAGUCCAUCAACGAGCGCAACCCUUGUAACUAGUUGGAUUUUUCUAGUUAGACUGCCCUGGUAACAGGGAGGAAGGAGGGGAUGAUGUCAGGUCAGUAUUUCCC